rnacentral:rRNA from 1 species
GGUUAAGCGACUAAGCGUACACGGUGGAUGCCCUGGCAGUCAGAGGCGAUGAAGGACGUGCUAAUCUGCGAUAAGCGUCGGUGAGGUGAUAUGAACCGUUAUAACCGGCGAUUUCCGAAUGGGGAAACCCAGUGUGUUUCGACACACUAUCAUUAACUGAAUCCAUAGGUUAAUGAGGCGAACCGGGGGAACUGAAACAUCUAAGUACCCCGAGGAAAAGAAAUCAACCGAGAUUCCCCCAGUAGCGGCGAGCGAACGGGGAGGAGCCCAGAGCCUGAAUCAGUGUGUGUGUUAGUGGAAGCGUCUGGAAAGGCGCGCGAUACAGGGUGACAGCCCCGUACACAAAAAUGCACAUAUUGUGAGCUCGAUGAGUAGGGCGGGACACGUGGUAUCCUGUCUGAAUAUGGGGGGACCAUCCUCCAAGGCUAAAUACUCCUGACUGACCGAUAGUGAACCAGUACCGUGAGGGAAAGGCGAAAAGAACCCCGGCGAGGGGAGUGAAAAAGAACCUGAAACCGUGUACGUACAAGCAGUGGGAGCCUCUUAAUGGGGUGACUGCGUACCUUUUGUAUAAUGGGUCAGCGACUUAUAUUCUGUAGCAAGGUUAACCGAAUAGGGGAGCCGAAGGGAAACCGAGUCUUAACUGGGCGUUAAGUUGCAGGGUAUAGACCCGAAACCCGGUGAUCUAGCCAUGGGCAGGUUGAAGGUUGGGUAACACUAACUGGAGGACCGAACCGACUAAUGUUGAAAAAUUAGCGGAUGACUUGUGGCUGGGGGUGAAAGGCCAAUCAAACCGGGAGAUAGCUGGUUCUCCCCGAAAGCUAUUUAGGUAGCGCCUCGUGAAUUCAUCUCCGGGGGUAGAGCACUGUUUCGGCAAGGGGGUCAUCCCGACUUACCAACCCGAUGCAAACUGCGAAUACCGGAGAAUGUUAUCACGGGAGACACACGGCGGGUGCUAACGUCCGUCGUGAAGAGGGAAACAACCCAGACCGCCAGCUAAGGUCCCAAAGUCAUGGUUAAGUGGGAAACGAUGUGGGAAGGCCCAGACAGCCAGGAUGUUGGCUUAGAAGCAGCCAUCAUUUAAAGAAAGCGUAAUAGCUCACUGGUCGAGUCGGCCUGCGCGGAAGAUGUAACGGGGCUAAACCAUGCACCGAAGCUGCGGCAGCGACACUAUGUGUUGUUGGGUAGGGGAGCGUUCUGUAAGCCUGUGAAGGUGGCCU